rnacentral:rRNA from 1 species
AGCGAACGCUGGCGGCAGGCUUAACACAUGCAAGUCGAGCGGGCAUCCUUGUGGUGUCAGCGGCAGACGGGUGAGUAACGCGUGGGAACGUGCCCUUCGGUUCGGAAUAACUCAGGGAAACUUGAGCUAAUACCGGAUACGUGCGAGAGCAGAAAGGUUUAUCUGCCGAAGGAUCGGCCCGCGUCUGAUUAGCUAGUUGGUGAGGUUAUGGCUCACCAAGGCGACGAUCAGUAGCUGGUCUGAGAGGAUGAUCAGCCACACUGGGACUGAGACACGGCCCAGACCCCUACGGGAGGCAGCAGGGGGGAAUAUUGGAAAAGGGGGGCAACCCUGAUCCAGCCAUGCCGCGUGAGGGAUGACGGCCUUAGGGUUGUAAAGCCCUUUUCUUCGGGACGAUAAUGACGGUACCGGAGGAAUAAGCCCCGGCUAACUUCGU